GAUGAACGCUGGCGGCGUGCUUAACACAUGCAAGUCGAACGGAAAGGCUCCUGCUUGCAGGGGUACUCGAGUGGCGAACGGGUGAGUAACACGUGGGUGAUCUGCCCUGCACUUCGGGAUAAGCCUGGGAAACUGGGUCUAAUACCGGAUAGGACGAUGGUUUGGAUGCCAUUGUGGAAAGUUUUUCGGUGUGGGAUGAGCUCGCGGCCUAUCAGCUUGUUGGUGGGGUAAUGGCCUACCAAGGCGUCGACGGGUAGCCGGCCUGAGAGGGUGUACGGCCACAUUGGGACUGAGAUACGGCCCAGACUCCGACGGGAGGCAGCAGUGGGGAAUAUUGCACAAUGGGCGCAAGCCUGAUGCAGCGACGCCGCGUGGGGGAUGACGGCCUUCGGGUUGUAAACUCCUUUCGCUAGGGACGAAGCGCAAGUGACGGUACCUGGAGAAGAAGCACCGGCUAACUACGU
rnacentral:rRNA from 1 species